rnacentral:tRNA from 1 species
GUUGCCGUAGCCAAAUGGAAUAAGGCACAACACUUUCAAUGUUGUAAUGUGUGGGUUCGAGUCCCAUCGGCAAUACGA